rnacentral:sRNA from 1 species
AUCAAGGCCUUGGGGCUGAAGUUCUCUGUUGAUCCACAGAACAUGUACAGCAUGACUGUGACAGUGCAAGCUCCAUCCACACUACCCCACCAUUGUACUUUCAUCUUAACAUAGAAGAGCCACCUCUAGAAGUGAAAGGACAUUUCAGUCCCCAGUGUCCAUACAGUCCUUGACUGCU